rnacentral:rRNA from 1 species
AUUGAACGCUGGCGGCAGGCUUAACACAUGCAAGUCGAGCGGAGACUUCGGUCUUAGCGGCGAACGGGUGAGUAAUACCUAGGAAUCUGCCUAUUAGUGGGGGAUAACGAAUCGAAAGGUUCGCUAAUACCGCAUACGCCCUGCGGGGGAAAGGUGGGGACCUUCGGGCCUACCGCGAUUGGAUGCACCCAUGUGGGAUUAGCUAGUUGGUGAGGUAACGGCUCACCAAGGCGACGAUCUCUAGCUGGUCUGAGAGGAUGACCAGCCACACUGGAACUGAGACACGGUCCAGACUCCUACGGGAGGCAGCAGUGGGGAAUAUUGCACAAUGGGGGGAAACCCUGAUGCAGCCAUGCCGCGUGUGUGAAGAAGGCCUUCGGUUGGUAAGACGACUUUCUAGUGGGGAGGAAGGGACGUGA